UCGUGGGUGACUGCGAAUCUGGAGGAAGCCGAAGGCAAAGCGCUGGCCUGACGAACAGGAAGCGGGUAUGAGGCGGAACGGCUGGGUAAGGCGGCCUAUAUCGUCAAAGCCCUAAACUUGCACGAAAAGCCGUGACGUAUGUUCGAAUGACUUUGUGGCAAGCUGGC
rfam:Deltaproteobacteria bacterium RIFOXYD12_FTLL_55_16 rifoxyd3_full_scaffold_733, whole genome shotgun sequence.